UUAACAAAUUAUUUUAUGAACAAAAGUCAUUACACCAGAAUACAAACACUACAUCUCCUCCCAGAACUAGACUCCUGCUUCAAUUCCUUUCGAUUUAGAACUUUUCCUCACUCAGCUCCAUAGAUCUAAACUCUUUCUUCUUCUAUUUCUUCCUUUAUUCAUAUUCCCACAUUACACAGACCACGUAAUCCUUCUUCAUUCUUUCACAUGCAUGUUAUAAGCCGUGAGUACCAACAAAUCUUGAACCCUUUCUUCCUCGCUUUCCACACUGCGAUUCCGUUUUUUUUUUUGUACGAGAUCUUAUUUAAUCCAUAACCGGUGGAGUCCAGCCGACCACCCGUUAAAACCGUUGAACCACCGACCGUCGAAACCGUAGACUCAGAUGGACGGAAACGAACUGUGAUAUUGACGCCGACGGUUUGAUCGAUUCUGGAUUUUGAGCCCGAAACCGUCCGCUGUCUAGCCCUAACUCCAUCUAUCCCUUUUCAUAAGUAUAUGACUUUUUUUUUUUGUCAAAAGAAAAAGUAUAUGACUUUUUUUUCAAAUAUAUUAAAAAAAAUGGUUAACGAAUUUAAUAUGUGUAUUUUAUAUGUAAAUCUUAAAUUUUUCAUAUAUGUCUUUUAAUGUCAAUCUUUAAUUUUUCAUUAGUUUUUCACAUAUAUGUCUUUUAAUGUCAAUCUUUAAUUUUUCAUAUUUCACAAUAAACUUGUAUAAUUAAUUAUGUUUGAGGAAAAAAAUGGCAUCAAGUAAAUUGCAUAUGGUCUUAUAUUUAGAGGGAAUUUUUGUUUUCAAAAAACAGGACGGAGGGAGUAGCUAUUAAGCUGGUCCAAAUUAUUUAAUAGCAUAAUGGAGUUCAAGUGCUCUGGUCAAAAAGAAAAUAUUCAAGAGCAUAUCUGAAUGCUAAAGUCUUUAGCUGGAAACAUGUGAGAACAUAUUUGCACAACACCAGGCAAGGAAAUGUGGUUCUAAAUUCUAAUCUGUAAUGGAUUUUGGGACUUGUGGUAGAUAGAGGUCAUAAUGGAGCUAGUACAUAUAUUUAAGUGGAUCUUCGAGGAUUUAAACCCAAUUGUGUAUCUUGAUUGUUAAACAACGAACAUUGAAUAAAACCAUGCAAUUU
rnacentral:lncRNA from 1 species